rnacentral:lncRNA from 1 species
AUAUCAUAGGGUACAUAAAAGUGAUAUCUCAAUUAGAAACAAAGUCAAAUCUCCCUAUCUUGGGGAAGAAAAUCUAACUCACCAUGCAAUAGGAGGUGCAUCUCAAUGUUCAAUUGGUUCGUGCUCAUCUCCUCUCACUCAUUCACUUCAUCUCUAUCUAAAAUGUACUUUAAUCCAAGAGACUUCUUCUCCAAAUGAUCGGAUGAGCUG